CUAGUGGGUCUGUGUAGGACUGGGUUCCAUCUACUAUGAUUUCGAGGAAUCGGCGAACUUACCUUCAAUAAUACCAAGCAAUAAAAUAUAUUUUGACUCAUCCCACCAUUCAAAGCCAUUAAACUGUUUCUGUUGGCCCAUACUUUGGUUGCUUUCAAACGAGCCAUCUCAGCGCAGUGUGCAGACCAAUCAGAUGGUAUAGAACGUGUUCCGUUAAAAUUCAAAUAUUGAUUGACGGAAGGGCCGGUUAAUUGAUUAAAAAAGGAAGGACCGGUCUAUUAACGGAAGUAAGGACCGGUUUAUUAACGGAAGUAAGGAGCGGUUUAUUGGCGGAAGUAAGGACCGAUUUAUUGACGGAAGUAAGGACCGGUUUAUUAACGGAAGUAAGGACCUGUUUAUUGACGGAAGUAAGGACCGAUUUAUUGACGGAAGUAAGGACCGAUUUAUUGACGGAAGUAAGGACCGGUUUAUUAACGGAAGUAAGGACCGGUUUAUUAACGGAAGUAAGGACCGGUUUAUUGACUGAAGUAAGGACCCAUUUAUUGACGGAAGUAAGGACCGAUUUAUUGACGGAAGUAAUGACCGGUUUAUUAACGGAAGUAAGGACCGGUUUAUUGACGGAAGUAAGGACCGAUUUAUUGACGGAAGUAAGAACCGGUUUAUUGACGGAAGUAAGGACCGGUUUAUUAACGAAAGUAAGGAGCGGUUUAUUAACGGAAGUAAGGAGCGGUUUAUUGACGGAGGUAAGGAGCGGUUUAUUGACGGAAGUAAGGACCGAUUUAUUGACGGGAGGUAAGACCAAGUCGUUGGCGAGAGUAACAAACCCGUGUAUCCCAUAUUAAGUGUCUUUAUUACCUCUUUAAAGCGACC